rnacentral:rRNA from 1 species
UCCGUAGGUGAACCUGCGGAAGGAUCAUUACCGAGUGCGGGCCCUCUGGGUCCAACCUCCCAUCCGUGUCUAUCUGUACCCUGUUGCUUCGGCGUGGCCACGGCCCGCCGAAGACUAACAUUUGAACACUGUCUGAAGUUUGCAGUCUGAGUUUUUAGUUAAACAAUAAUUAAAACUUUCAACAACGGAUCUCUUGGUUCCGGCAUCGAUGAAGAACGCAGCGAAAUGCGAUAAUUAAUGUGAAUUGCAGAAUUCAGUGAAUCAUCGAGUCUUUGAACGCACAUUGCGCCCCCUGGUAUUCCGGGGGGCAUGCCUGUCCGAGCGUCAUUGCUGCCCUCAAGCACGGCUUGUGUGUUGGGCUUCCGUCCCUGGUAACGGGGACGGGCCCAAAAGGCAGUGGCGGCACCAUGUCUGGUCCUCGAGCGUAUGGGGCUUUGUCACCCGCUCCCGUAGGUCCAGCUGGCAGCUAGCCUCGCAACCAAUCUUUUUAACCAGGUUGACCUCGGAUCAGGUAGGGAUACCCGCUGAACUUAAGCAUAUCAAUAAGCGGAGGA